GUUGGAUUCAGCCUUCUUCUGGUCUCUGUCUUGACUAGGAUUUGGCUUUUUUCUGGUUUCUGUCUUGACUCAGACUGGGCCCUCUUCUGGUCUCUGUCUUGUGUCGGACUCUUCCCUCUUCUGGUCUAUGUCUUCACUCAGACUCAACCCUCUUUUGGUCUUUGUCUUGAGUUGGACAGCCCUCUUGUCGUCUCUGUCUUAAGUUGGAUUCGGCCUUCUUCUGGUCUCUGUCUUCACUCGAACUCUGCCCUCUUCUGGUCUCUGUCUUCACUCGGACUCUGCCCUCUUCUGGUCUCUGUCUUGACUAGGAUUUGGCUUUUUUCUGGUCUCUAUCUUGACCCAGACUCAAUCCAAUUCUGGUUUCUGUCCUGACUCAGACUAUGCCCUCUUCUGGUCACUGUCUUGACUAGAAUUUGGCCUUGUCUUGACACAGAUGCGACAGUCUUUUGAUUUUAGUCUUGACUUGGAAUCAACCCUCUUCUGGUCUCUGUCUUCACUCAGACUCCACCCUCUUCUGGUCUCUGUCUUCACUCAGACUAAACCCUCUUCUGGUCUCUGUCUUGACUUUGAUUUGACCCU
ensembl:lncRNA